GAAACAUACAAAAUUUGACGGGGUGUGUGUGCAUUGAUUUGAAAUGCUAAUAGACUGAACGAUGAAACCAAGAACAAAGUUCAUCGACAAGCUGUUUGUUUACAUGAAAGGAGGAGCAGGUGGAAAUGGUCUGCCAAAGCUGAACGGAAUCGGCGGGAAGGGUGGCGAUGUUUGGAUCACCGCAAAAGAGAAUCAGACGCUGCGGAAGCUCAAGCUACAGAACCCGUCACAGCGGUUUACGGCCGGAGUGGGCGAGCACAGCCGAAAGUUCCGGAUCCAGGGCGAGCCGGGCGAGGACCGGGUCAUCCACGUGCCGCCGGGCGUGCAGGUGUCCGCCGCAGACGGCACCGUCAUCGGUGACUGUAACGUGGCCGGUGACCGCGUGCUGGGGGCGCGCGGCGGUGACGGCGGCGGCCCGCACACGGGCUACAUCGGCCGGCCGGGCACCGCCCGACAGCUCUACCUCACACUGAAGCUGAUCGCUGACGUAGGCCUGGUGGGGUUCCCGAACGCCGGCAAAUCGACCCUGCUGAGGGCGGUGUCUCGCGCCCGGCCCAAGGUGGCCAGCUACCCCUUCACCACCAUGUCGCCAGAGAUCGGCAUUAUUCACUACAGCGACAUGCGUCAGAUCUCGGUGGCCGACCUGCCCGGACUGAUUGAGGGCGCCAGCAGGAACAUCGGACUGGGACACAGCUUCCUACGACAUGUGGAGCGGACCCAGCUGCUGCUGUUUGUCGUCGACGUCAACGGCUUCCAGCUCAGUCCGGACAGGGUCAAACGGUCCGCCUUCGAGACCAUCGCCAUCCUCAAUCGGGAGAUUGAGCUAUACAAGCCGGAGCUGCUCGAGAAGCCGGCCAUGCUGGUGGUGAACAAGAUGGACUCGCCGGCGGCGGCAGAGACCUGGCCCGAGCUGAAGCGGCGCCUGGCCGAGGGACUGGACGCGUCGGCCGCUCAGCUGCCGGCGGACCUCCGGCCCCGGCGGCCGGUUCAGUUCGACCACGUAGUGCCCAUCUCGGCGCGCUGCGACCCCGAGUCUGUGGAGCGGGUCAAGGCCAAGGUGCGCGCCUGUCUGGACAUUCACGCGGCGCCGCCUCCCGACCUGGAGGAGGUGCACCGGCGCAUGCGCACUGGUGGUGUGGUGGCCCUCCAUAACCGGACAGUGGACAUGGAGCAUGAUAGAGGGCACCGCCGACGACAGCCGCGGAAACUACCGCAGCUGGCGUGAUUUUGUCAGUUAGCUGAGAUGAGAGCUGUGUCGUAUGUGGGCUGUUUUGUUUGGCGUGUCUGCUAUGCAUGAAGUUUUGAUGAUGACCUUAUGAACAGUGAAUAACAUCGUGCUAUACACAGAUGCAUACCGCAGGUUGUUUUGCAAGCCCAGACCCAUUCCCUCCGACGGGCAAUACCGGGCGUCUGGAGAAUAUUGUCGAAGUUCAGUGUAGUCUGUCUUGGAUUCCAACACUCUGCAGUACUAUGGGGCAGACGGGCAUUUUAAUCAUCGCCAGGAUCUAGAUAAGUGUAUAAAGCUAUUCAAGAAAGCAUCGUUAGACGUUGAACGUGCCCAAAGCUGUGCCUUAACUAAUUCUUUUGAUCCCUUCGGUGUCAAACCAAUGACGAUGGCCUCGGCAACAAAGGGACGGAGCACGAAGGCUGAUAAAAACAUGAAAUCUACUGGACAUGAAUAUUUAUCUGUAUUCCUAGAAACACUUGUCACAAAACUGCUGAAGAUAACACAGCAUUGGGUAAUGGGUAUCAUAUGGGCGACAGCUUGGAGAUAGGUCGACAACUCGACACAGGAGGACCAGCCAUUGUAGUUGGACAUAUCUUUCCACGCAUUGUGAAAGGUGUGAUGUUGAAAACCAAUCAAAAACAGUAGUCUGAGGGCGUUAUUGUCCCUAUUUCCCCUUAUCCUGUCCCCAACACCCCUUUCCAGUCCCCAAAGAAUGAAUGAAAAACCCAAAGUACAUAUAUUAUAAUUUGAUAGCUGUAUACCUGGGAGGAAUGUGUUCCAAACUCUAGUAGCGACUAGUGUUUGUCGUUUCAACCUUUAAACUAGAAAUAUUGAAAAUUACGUUUACAUCUUCCAACUUUUAAUCAAUAGCCAAUCAUUAAGAAUUUAUAUUUCAAAUUGUAUGCACUUUUGUGUUGAAUACCGUAAAAACAGCAUAAAUAAAAUAUGUUUCUAGUAUAAAUACCGACGUCACCAAAAACGUGGAUGCCACUGAGCUGCCAGUUGCGGGAAAUCUUGCGCAGCCGCCACGCUGACGCAACUUGGUUUUGUUUUGGCUGGAUUCUCUGCCGGUAUUCUGUGUGCUUCUUGACUUAUUUCAGAAAGUUAGGUCACAGAAUAACAGUUAAAAUGCCUGCCGCCAAUACGGGUGCGAAGUUCAGUAACGAAGAAGAGCUUCUUCUGCAGGACUUCAGCCGUAAUGUUUCGACCAAGUCAUCAGCCCUCUUCUAUGGAAAUGCAUUUAUUGUUUCUGCUAUUCCUAUCUGGCUGUACUGGAGGAUCCACAUGAUGGACCUCUACUCCUCCAUCCCCAUCUUCCUCAUCAUCACACUGGCCUCAACCUACCUGGUGGCCAUGGCAUACAAAAACACCAAGUUCAUCUUGAAGCAUAAGAUCGCCGUGAAACGCGAGGAGGCCGUCACUCGGGAGAUGCAGAAGAAGCUGGCCGAGGACAAGAAGAUGAGCAAGAAGGAGAAGGACGAGCGCACGCUGUGGAAGAAGAACGAGGUGGCCGACUACGAGGCCACCACCUUCUCAAUCUUCUACAACAACGCCCUCUUCCUGGCCAUCGUCAUCGUGGCCUCGUUCUACGUGCUGCGCUCGUUCGCGCCCACCUUUAACUAUGUGCUCUCGGUGGGCUCGGGGGCCGGCCUGCUAUGGCUGUUCUCCACGGGCACCAAGUAGGCGGCCGGUACUCUCUGGCGGGCCGCUCGGCCGGCCGUAGCGGGUGGGGAGGGAAGGUGGCGCCAGUGUGCCGAGAGCUGGCGCGGCGGAGCGCGGAUGAGCUCAGCGCGCUCAUUGACCGUGUGUGUUGUGUCACCCAGAUGACUAUUCCGUUCGUUUUUAUUUCCGGGAGAUUGUGGGAAGGUAAUAAACUGUACCUAUUUAUA